rnacentral:rRNA from 1 species
CCUACGGGUGGCAGCAGUGGGGGAUAUUGCACAAUGGGGGGAACCCUGAUGCAGCGACGCCGCGGGGGUGAAGGAGCGUUUCGGCGCGUAAAGCCCUAUCGGCAGGGAAGAAGAUGACGGUACCUGACCAAGAAGCCCCGGCUAAAGACGUGCCAGCAGCCGCGGUAAUACGUAGGGGGCAAGCGUUAUCCGGAUUGACUGGGGGUCAAGGGGGCGCAGACGGCAAUGCAAGCCAGGUGUGAAAGCCCGGGGCCCCACCCCGGGACUGCUCUUGGAACUGCAUGGCUGGAGGAAAGGAGGGGCAUGCGGAAUUCCUAGUGUAGCGGUGAAAUGCGGAGAUAUUAGGAGGAACACCGGUGGCGAAGGCUGCCUGCUGGACUGUGACUGACGUUGAGGCCCGAAGGCGUGGGGAGCAAACAGGAUUAGAUACCCCAGUAGUC